rnacentral:rRNA from 1 species
UCAAAGAUUAAGCCAUGCAUGUCUAAGUAUAAGCAACUAUACGGUGAAACUGCGAAUGGCUCAUUAAAUCAGUUAUCGUUUAUUUGAUAGUACCUUACUACAUGGAUAACCGUGGUAAUUCUAGAGCUAAUACAUGCUAAAAACCCCAACUUCGAAGGGGUGUAUUUAUUAGAUAAAAAACCAAUGCCCUUCGGGGCUCCUUGGUGAAUCAUAAUAACUUCACGAAUCGCAUGGCCUUGCGCCGGCNNUGGUUCAUUCAAAUUUCUGCCCUAUCAACUUUCGAUGGUAGGAUANAGGCCUACCAUGGUUUCAACGGGUAACGGGGAAUUAGGGUUCGACUCCGGAGNGGNAGCCUGAGAAACGGCUACCACAUCCAAGGAAGGCAGCAGGCGCGCAAAUUACCCAAUCCCGACACGGGGAGGUAGUGACAAUAAAUACUGAUACAGGGCUCUUUUGGGUCUUGUAAUUGGAAUGAGUACAAUUUAAAUCCCUUAACGAGGAACAAUUGGAGGGCAAGUCUGGUGCCAGCAGCCGCGGUAAUUCCAGCUCCAAUAGCGUAUAUUAAAGUUGUUGCAGUUAAAAAGCUCGUAGUUGAACCUUGGGCCUGGCUGGCCGGUCCGCCUCACCGCGUGUACUGGUCCGGCCGGGCCUUUCCUUCUGGGGAGCCGCAUGCCCUUCACUGGGCGUGUCGGGGAACCAGGACUUUUACUUUGAAAAAAUUAGAGUGUUCAAAGCAGGCCUUUGCUCGAAUACAUUAGCAUGGAAUAAUAGAAUAGGACGUGUGGUUCUAUUUUGUUGGUUUCUAGGACCGCCGUAAUGAUUAAUAGGGAUAGUCGGGGGCNUNNNNAUUCAAUUGUCAGAGGUGAAAUUCUUGGAUUUAUUGAAGACGAACUACUGCGAAAGCAUUUGCCAAGGAUGUUUUCAUUAAUCAGUGAACGAAAGUUAGGGGAUCGAAGACGAUCAGAUAC